CGAACUGUGCAAACGUUAUUCGGAAUCACUGGGCUUAAAGGGUGCGUAGGCGGCUUGUUAAGUAGGGUGUGAAAUCCCCCGGCUCAACCGGGGAAUUGCGCCCUAAACUGGCGAGCUGGAGUGAGAUAGGGGUGUGUGGAACUUCCAGUGGAGCGGUGAAAUGUGUUGAUAUUGGAAGGAACGCCAGUGGCGAAAGCGACACACUGGGUCUCAACUGACGCUGAGGCACGAAAGCCAGGGGAGGAAACGGGAUUAGAUACCCCGGUAGUCCUGGCCGUAAACGAUGAGCACUAGCUGGGGGGCGGUUCGUCCGUUCCCCAACGUAGCAAAAGUGUGAAGUGCUCCGCCUGGGGAGUAUGGUCGCAAGGCUG
rnacentral:rRNA from 1 species